rnacentral:rRNA from 1 species
UGGGGAAUUUUGGACAAUGGGCGAAAGCCUGAUCCAGCAAUGCCGCGUGUGUGAAGAAGGCCUUCGGGUUGUAAAGCACUUUUGUCCGGAAAGAAAUCCUCUGGGUUAAUACCUCGGGGGGAUGACGGUACCGGAAGAAUAAGCACCGGCUAACUACGUGCCAGCAGCCGCGGUAAUACGUAGGGUGCAAGCGUUAAUCGGAAUUACUGGGCGUAAAGCGUGCGCAGGCGGUUUUGUAAGACGGAUGUGAAAUCCCCGGGCUUAACCUGGGAACUGCAUUCGNGACUGCAAGGCUAGAGUAUGGCAGAGGGGGGUAGAAUUCCACGUGUAGCAGUGAAAUGCGUAGAGAUGUGGAGGAAUACCGAUGGCGAAGGCAGCCCCCUGGGCCAAUACUGACGCUCAUGCACGAAAGCGUGGGGAGCAAACA